CACGUAUAAUGAUUGAAUAAAAUGAAGCUAUAUGUGUAUCGAUAUAUAUACAUGUAUGUCUAUUGUGUGUAUUCAUGUAUAUCUCUCUUUUUUUUUUUUUUUGGUACUGGAGAUCAAACUCAGGACCUUGUGUGGCAGCACCACUGAUCUAAAUCCCUGGCCCCAUAUAUCUCUUUUAAAUACAACAGUAUGGGGCCAACUGCAGCCUUGCCAGGACACAGAACACCCUGUCUGAGGUGACCCUUCCAGGUGGUUAACACGAUGUGAACAGCAGAGUAGAUGCUCAAUAGACUAUUUCAGUCCUCCUAUGACACUGAAGGAAGCCAAGAGAAUGAACUCUGUCUACACCAAACUGCAGACUUACCUGUCAUUUCUUCCUGGCUUACCUUUAUCUUCUCUGUUAUGCCCAGUGGAAGAUUUCCCUUUUGGGGGAUACCCCAUUCUGGGGUUUUGUCUUCUCCAGGGCCACACAUGAGACCCAAACCUAAUCAUCAGAAUCAUGGGAAUCUGUCCAACAUAGGUGGACAUACACGAGCUAGCCCUGGCACUUUUGCUGGAACUAGUGGGAAAAGUCCUUUUCCAAUCAAUGCAGUUUGCAGAGCAGAAGCUGGCAGGUGCUGCUGUCAUGGACAGAGCCUUCCUGAAGACAAGCUGCAGGGAUUCAUCCUAUCUGAGGCAAUGACUGCACAGAGAGCCCUGUAGUGUCCCUGGGCACCAAUACUUGUCUGUGCUUCUGUGAGGGACCGGGUGUACCUCAAAGCAAGAACUCAGUCAGUGCUAUGUGUCUGCCGAGUGACCAAACUGCCUUAAAAAUAUCUCUUACUGGACUGUGGAUGUAGCUUCAUGGUAGAACAUCUGCCUACCAUGUGUAAGGUCCUGGGUUCAAUCACCAGCAGUGAAAAAAUAUUAUAUACUUAGCUCUUUAAGACCAUCCAAGUUGGUGUAAUGGGUUAAAUAUGAAGUAUGCCCCCAAAGACUCAGGUAGUAAGGGCCUGGUCCCCAAGGAAGCAAAAGGUGGGGCCUGGAGAGGGACUGAAUCAUAAGAGUGCUAAUCUCAAGCUGGAACAAUCCAGUGAUGAGUCUUUGCUGAGUGGGCUGUCAGGAGGUGGGCCCAACCAGAGGAAAUGGGUCACUAGGUGGGUACAUUCUUGUUCCCUGCCCCUUUCUGUUUGUCUCUUUCCUCUCACUCUGCUUCCUGGCAGCCACAAGGUCAGCUGCUUUCCUCCACUAUGAUGCUCUGCCUUUUCACAGGCCUAAAGUAAUGGAGCCACUCAACCAUGGACUGAAACUCCUAAAACUUUUGGGGGAUCUGAAGAGCUCCUGAUAAUUGGCGCCUGAACAGGGACUUGAGACUGAAGGGAGAGGCCUAUCUGAGUGGAAAAGGAGUGGAACAGAUGACGGAAGACUGCAGGAUGACUUCAGAGAUGGCCGUACAAAAUUAUCUAGGCUAUUACGAACUGAGAGUUAGAAGAUGUAUAAAAUUCGGAUCUCCAGGAAGAAUUUAGUCAAAUUAUAACAGCCAGCAGGUAAGAACCAUGUUUAUUAUGUCUUUUUUCUGAUGGGUAUAGCUAAGUGGUACUAUACGUUACUAAUCAUGACACAAAUAUAACACAAAUAA